AGUGCAGCGGACCUGCAGCGAGCUCUCAGACCCUCUCGGUGUAACCCCGAGUAUAUCUCCUGGGCUGAGCUUGCCUGGCAGGUCUGCAUCCCGCGUUCUCCCUUUCCCUCCCCUCUGGCACACAGGAGCAGGCCCUGACCUGGAUCCGACCCUACGGGUCCCUUCCGAGAACCCUCACCAGGUGUACCGUAACCCUGAGGAUCCAACCUUGCGCACCCUGGACUUCAGAGAGCCUCCACGGGUGAAUCCUGACCUGGCAGGCAAUGGCCAGAAGGCAAAGGUUAGAAGGCAAAGACCUGUUUGUUUCCGCCGCCCAGUGGGGGCCGCUUGUGCAAGGCUGAGGGAUAGAUACAGCUCCUCCUUCAUCUCCCUGGGGCACAGGCUGGAGGAUUGUGCUCCACAGCAAAGGUUCCUGGACCUGUUGGUGAUCCCUCAGCGACUGCCAUCUGAAAUCCAGUUUGGGGGCUGGGGAAAGGCUCAGUGACUAAGAGUGCUUUCUAUGUACGUAUGGAGACCUAAGUUUGGAUCCCUGCACGCACACCAAAAAGCAGGCAAAUGUGCUUGCUGCCAAGCUGGAGAAACUGAGUUUGAUCCUUGGAACCCUCACGGUGGAAGAAGAGAGUUGACUAUUGGAGUUGGCCACUAUAGAAGGCACAGACCACACCCCAACACAUACAUAACACACAUACAAUAAAGAAAUAGAAGUCAAGUUCUUAAAUUAAAUAGGAAUUUAAUUAGCAUAAGCAUGGACAGAGUCUAUGGGAGCACAGACUCCUCAGCCUAACCCUAACCCUAACCCUAACCCUAACCCUAACCCUAACCCUAACCCUACCCUCGUCUGCCUUUGGCAAGCUUCCUAUUAGGUUGAUGUACCAGAGGUCCCUGGGCUGUUUGUUCCCACAGCAGCCUGGGGCAUUUGCCCUAUAACAAGAACCCUGAAUAAAAUGCUUCUGCCUCUUGA
rnacentral:lncRNA from 1 species